GACGAACGCUGGCGGCGUGCUUAACACAUGCAAGUCGAACGGAAAGGCCCUGCUUUUGUGGGGUGCUCGAGUGGCGAACGGGUGAGUAACACGUGAGUAACCUGCCCUUGACUUUGGGAUAACUUCAGGAAACUGGGGCUAAUACCGGAUAGGAGCUCCUGCUGCAUGGUGGGGGUUGGAAAGUUUCGGCGGUUGGGGAUGUACUCGCGGCUUAUCAGCUUGUUGGUGGGGUAGUGGCUUACCAAGGCUUUGACGGGUAGCCGGCCUGAGAGGGUGACCGGCCACAUUGGGACUGAGAUACGGCCCAGACUCCUACGGGAGGAAGCAGUGGGGAAUAUUGCACACUGGGCGGAAGCCUGAUGCAGCAACGCCGCGUGCGGGAUGACGGCCUUAGGGUUGUAAACCGCUUUCGCCUGUGACGAAGCGUGAGUGACGGUAAUGGGUAAAGAAGCACCGGCUAACUACGUG
rnacentral:rRNA from 1 species